AGCAUUAUUACCGCCAUUCCUUAUCUGGCGGGCUAGCUGACGACUGUACCCAACCCGCCCUCGAGGCGGGUUUC
rnacentral:sRNA from 6 species